CGAAAGUUAGUGUAUGGAAACGAGGUUGGGGGAAGCAUUCUCGUUUUGGCGCUUAACCUUUUACGUAAACAACAGCAUAACUCUGGUCCCAUCGAAAAUCACGAUCAAUUUACCAAAUUCUCAGGACAAUAAAAAUGGAAAAUGGAACAGUAUUCAACGUGUUUGGACUCCCCUUGAACGUUGUACUGAGAUAGGUUUAUCUGUCUGCACUACGGCAGAACAUAUAUGUAACAAUUAUAAACUGUAUCCGAAAUGAACAACACAUUUGCAUAAAUAUAUUAUAUAAAAAAUGAUGAAUACAACAGAGAAGCAUGUGGGAUGUAAAGAGUUUACACAUGAUAAAUGUACAUUCAUUUGUUUACUAUAAUGAGUAAUUUUUUACUUAAAUAUUGCAUGAUACUUUCAGUGGUUGUUGAAUUAUCUGAAGGUGUGUUAACACAAUAUUUGUUGGUCUUUACGGGUGUGGUGAAUUUGACAUGCAGGCGAAAUUGUUGGGUCCAUUUUAAAAUUAUAUUUCCACCGUUCUUCAUCCUCAUCGAAAAGUGGGAGACAUUAUAUAGUUUCGUACUAAGUAAAUUUGUUCUAUACAAAAUAUGUGCUGCUUCCAUAUGUUUCAAAGAAAGCUUUUUGUUAAGUUUUUGUCAUUAACAGUCAAAUUAAGGUUGACCAGUAUGAAACAUUUCUGAAACUGGUUCAUUAUAAUUUCUUAUGUUUUCAAGAUAUACAAAGCUUUCACAUUUUUCUUUUUCUGGUAAUGGUUCUAUUUUAGGGAUUUUAUGAAUUCAAUUUGCCUCAAACUUUAAUUAAAAAAAAUCUUUUUUUCCUGCAUUGGAGUCCUUGAUGUUUAAUUAGUAAUUUUGGCGUUAAUGCAGAGUAAAAAAAGUGUUUUUUGCUGUCCCGGGAUUUUGUGGUUUUUUUUGGCGUUAAACUUAAUGAGUUGUCUAGAUUUACAAAAUCAUCAAAUUCAAUAAAGAUUAAGAUCAAUACACAUAAACUGUGUACUAUAUACAGAUUCACUUAUCCAAUAAAAUUAGGGGUCACUUGUCCAGUAAAAUACCAGUUAUUGGAGAUUACUUAUGUGUAUUGUCUGCCAUAAGGUGUCCAAAUGACAUAAUUAUGAUUCAUUAAUGACAUAAUCAUGAUUCAUUAUAUAUUUUUCAUUUGUCACCUAACACCUAUCUUUAUGGCAUCCCUUAAAUUAACGAUGUGUGAAUAAAGAACAAACAAACGAUUGCAUAGCACCUGCUAUCAUGGAUAAUUGGAGUAUUGUCUCAGAAUUUUGGGGAGUUUAUAAUAAGGAAGUCAAUAAAUGAAAUCAAAGGAUUGUUAUUUCUCAACUCAUUUUAUUGGAAAGAAAACACUAUAACACGAUUUAUCCAAGCACUCUGACAAAUAUUUUGUCUGACUAUGUCCUAUCACUAAAGCCAUUGUUUAUAAAAAAAAAUGAUAAAUUUAUUCCAAUCACAAAUAUUGCAAUCAAUAUAAUAUGCACAUGUAAUAACUACAAAUUUAAUCAAACAGAAUAACCAAAUUUACUACACGAAAUAUAUAUACCUACCCUUUUUGCUCAUUUUUCCUUUCAAUUUAUAAUUUCAAAAGGAUCAUUUUAUAUAUAUAUGGGAUUGUUUGUUCUGAUGAAUGUAUUGGAUACGGAAAGAUCAAAUGUUUUUUUGCAUUAAAAGUUAAACAAAUUUAACAUCUGAGGUUUAUCCCUUUACAAAAUAUAUUAAUAAUUAUCUAUAUUUCUCAUUUUGCAAUAAUGGUAAGAACUUAUAAAUCCUAUUUUCACCUAUUACAAUAUAAAUCAUCAAUUCAGACAUUUUUACAACUACCAAAAAGAAAUAAUAAAUUGUUUUUUUAUAAAUCUAGAUAUUAAACCAUUAAACCAAUUUUAAUGAUUUGAAAUAUGGUUCUUUUACCUAUUCAAACAAAACAAAAAGUUUACAAACAAUCAAUUAGGUUUUAAUUCUAAAAGCAAAAUUCAAAAAUAAAGUGAAUUAACUGUUUUUUACUUGACUAAACUCAUAAACAUAAUAAUUUAUUGAUUUUAACAAUAAAAUUUCAAUGUCAAUAUUUUUUAUUCUUAUUCUAUAUUGUAUGCGUUUCUCAACAUCCUUCUUUGUGUAUGUUGUAUGCAAAUGUGAAAACCCUUAUUUGCCUAUGUUGUAUGCGUUACACUAUUUCUUUGUUGUAUGCAUUUCAUACCGACCCUCAGUUUAUGUCAACAUGCCAAAUAUGUUUUACAAAAGUACACAUGACCUUUAAAACAUGUGUCACCAUUGGUGCCGAAAUUAUAUUUGCAGUCAUGUGAACCUGUGACGUAAAUUAUUCAACUUCCCCCAUUCGUUAUUAAUUAUAAGGCCUAUUUCUUCUGAUCCUGUUUUUCGAGUUUUAAGUUAUCUAUAUAAACCCUAUUUAUAGAACAUCAUAGGACCAUGUGACAAGGCACUUCAGAAACUGCGCAAAGGAAAAAGGCCCGUUGUUCCCCCAACGCCAAGCCCCGACAUGUUCAAAUCCACCACUCAGAAGACUGUUGAAGCGUAGACGUAGAAAAGAUUUUGAAGAUUUUCGUUAAUGUUGUUGGCUUAUAUUGUGAUAUUGUGGAUUAUACAAGCAUUUCUGUGAUUUAUAAAUUAUGUUGACUCCAUAUAAUUGAAUUAAAGAGAUAAGUGUUACUUUGUUCAGAUAAAUGUAAAAUGACCUACUUUGUUCUAGGAGGUUGAAUGUUCAAAUUGUAUAUGUUCGUAAACUGUUUGGAAGCAAUUCUAACAUCUUAAAACAAAACACGUCCUUAAACAUUGUUUAAUUCUUAACAAUAAUAACAUCUCAACUGUUCAUGGCUUAGUGGUAUAGUAUCGGUUACCUUAUCAUUGUGAUACAUAUUGUAAUUUAUAUUGCAUAUCCAUGUUUCAUGUAAAAAUUAUUCUUUAUACUACAAGUUGUAUUAUACAAAGCAUAUGUGAUAUUUUGAUCAUGAUAUACCACGUAAUUUGCAUGUCAGUCUCAAUCACGGUUUAAAAUCACGAAAUAAUUAUGGCUGUUGUGAAAAAUGUUAUUUGUUAAAGCUAACAUUUCCAUUAUUUGUUGUGAACAAAUAAAACUGAGAAUAUA